rnacentral:rRNA from 1 species
GAAAGAUUCAUCGGAAGAGGAUGGGCAUGCGGCGCAUUAGCUAGACGGCGGGGUACCGGCCCACCGUGGCGACGAUGCGUAGGGGUUCUGAGAGGAAGGUCCCCCACACUGGUACUGAGACACGGACCAGACUCCUACGGGAGGCAGCAGUGAGGAAUAUUGGUCAAUGGGAGAGAUCCUGAACCAGCCAAGCCGCGUGAGGGAAGACGGCCCUAUGGGUUGUAAACCUCUUUUGUCGGAGAACAAAACCCGGGACGAGUCCCGGACUGCGUGUAUCCGAAGAAAAAGCAUCGGCUAACUCCGUGCCAGCAGCCGCGGUAAUACGGAGGAUGCGAGCGUUAUCCGGAUUUAUUGGGUUUAAAGGGUGCGUAGGCGGUCCGUUAAGUCAGCGGUAAAAUUGCGGGGCUCAACCCCGUCGAGCCGUUGAAACUGGCAGACUUGAGUUGGCGAGAAGUACGCGGAAUGCGCGGUGUAGCGGUGAAAUGCAUAGAUAUCGCGCAGAACUCCGAUUGCGAAGGCAGCGUACCGGCGCCACACUGACGCUGAGGCACGAAAGCGUGGGGAUCGAACAGGAUUAGAUACCCUGGUAGUCCACGCAGUAAACGAUGAAUGCUGGUUGUCCGGGUCGAAUGAGAUCUGGGCGGCGA